rnacentral:rRNA from 1 species
UUAUCCGGGUUGCGGACAGUGUCUGGUGGGUAGUUUGACUGGGGCGGUCUCCUCCUAAAGAGUAACGGAGGAGCACGAAGGUUGGCUAAUCCUGGUCGGACAUCAGGAGGUUAGUGCAAUGGCAUAAGCCAGCUUGACUGCGAGCGUGACGGCGCGAGCAGGUGCGAAAGCAGGUCAUAGUGAUCCGGUGGUUCUGAAUGGAAGGGCCAUCGCUCAACGGAUAAAAGGUACUCCGGGGAUAACAGGCUGAUACCGCCCAAGAGUUCAUAUCGACGGCGGUGUUUGGCACCUCGAUGUCGGCUCAUCACAUCCUGGGGCUGAAGUAGGUCCCAAGGGUAUGGCUGUUCGCCAUUUAAAGUGGUACGCGAGCUGGGUUUAGAACGUCGUGAGACAGUUCGGUCCCUAUCUGCCGUGGGCGCUGGAGAACUGAGGGGGGCUGCUCCUAGUACGAGAGGACCGGAGUGGACGCAUCACUGGUGUUCGGGUUGUCAUGCCAAUGGCACUGCCCGGUAGCUAAAUGCGGAAGAGAUAAGUGCUGAAAGCAUCUAAGCACGAAACUUGCCCCG